rnacentral:lncRNA from 1 species
CUGCGCCGGCCACAGGAGCUGCUGCCUGCCGUGGUUCUGGAAGGAGAGUGGGGCGCAAAAACUGGGAACCGGAGAGGGCUUCGGUGAUCGUCCUUUGCAUCAGAGACUGUAAUGCGCCAGCAAGAGCGCCAGGAGGAGCCGGCGGUGCCGGUGUGCCUGGCGCGCAAAGGGGAAAGCACCGCUGUCCCAAACCGCCUGCUCGGCUGGGCAGGUGUUUGCACCAAUCUUUCCGCUCAACAGAAAGACAGGUCAUUUAAAAGUAGGCUGAUGCUGGGAAAAGCGAAGCACUUGCCCACACAGUGACCAGAGCAAGAAGCUGAACUCUGCUCUCCCAGGCCUGUGCUCUGAGCCUGAAACGCUGCUGUCCUUAAUCAAAGAUAUGUAUCCAGUUUAGAAAGUCUCUGAGCAGCAGAUGAGCGGAAGCUGGGAGGUUAUGUUAGUGCUUGCCUUGUUCUUAUAUUUUUCCACCUACCUACUACUGUCAGUGACAGGAUAUCGGGCUAAACAAACCUUAGGUCAAGCCACAAACAGCUGUUCCUAUGGUCAUAUGUUUUUCUUUAAACACAAAGCUGCAUUGAUACACAUUUUGCACUGAAGAAUUAAGUACAUGCUUUGAGUUCACUGCAAAUUUGUUCAAUACAUAGAUCACCUUCACGGUAUUGCAAUGUAGCCCUUUACGUCUCCAUCUGACUUUCAAAAUUCUCCACUGUGGAGAGUUCCAAGAGAAACAAAUUCACUUUUUUUUUCUUUUUUUUUUUUUUGCUAACCUGCCUGGCCCACACAUUUCAAGCAGCCUCAAGGUUCAGCUCCUCCUACCUCUUUACAUUUUGGAGUCUUUAAACAAAUUCCCUUUGAUCCUUAAAUAGCUCUCGGUGGGCCUGUUAACUAAGCAAACUCUGAACCCAUGCACACAAGAGCUUCUGACUCAUUAAGGUGAUACACAAAGACAUCAAAAGAACUGUAUAUACACCAUAUAAUUUCACAUCGAAUCUCAGAGUUGAGUGCAACCUGCUACCGCUAGUCAAAUGCCAGUGAGAAACAGUAUAAAAAUGUAAGAACAAAGAAGAUAUUCAAAAUGCUUACAAUUAAGAGAAAG